AGGGAUUAGUGGCGAACGGGUGAGUAACACGUGAGUAACCUGCCCUUGACUCUGGGAUAAGCGCUAGAAAUGGCGUCUAAUACCGGAUACGAGCUUCAGCCGCAUGGCUAGGAGUUGGAAAGAAUUUUGGUCAAGGAUGGACUCGCGGCCUAUCAGCUAGUUGGUGAGGUAAUGGCUCACCAAGGCGACGACGGGUAGCCGGCCUGAGAGGGUGACCGGCCACACUGGGACUGAGACACGGCCCAGACUCCUACGGGAGGCAGCAGUGGGGAAUAUUGCACAGUGGGCGAAAGCCUGAUGCAGCAACGCCGCGUGAGGGAUGACGACCUUCGGGUUGUAAACCUCUUUUAGUAGGGAAGAAGCGAAAGUGACGGUACCUGCAGAAAAAGCACCGGCUAACUACGUGCCAGCAGCCGCGGUAAUACGUAGGGUGCAAGCGUUGUCCGGAAUUAUUGGGCGUAAAGAGCUCGUAGGCGGUUUGUCGCGUCUGCUGUGAAAUCUGGGGGCUCAACCCCCAGCCUGCAGUGGGUACGGGCAGACUAGAGUGCGGUAGGGGAGAUUGGAAUUCCUGGUGUAGCGGUGGAAUGCGCAGAUAUCAG
rnacentral:rRNA from 1 species